AUGUUUCAGAAAUUAAGGUGAUAGGAAAUUGAACUCGAUAUGAUAUUUGUCCAUUAUUAUACAAUCAGGAAAAUGCACUAUUGGUGACUGGUAUACGUGUGUAUAUCUACAGAAACCCCAGGGAUUGGUAGAAGACUGUUAUUCUUAUUAUGUUCAUUAUCACCUUUGAUAGUAAAUUUACUGUUAAACGACUGUUUGUUAAUUAUUGUCUUCGGCUCCCCCAGCUCUUGUAUUUUGACAGAUUCAAAGUGAAGAGGCUCUUCAGAUUGGUGUAUAUGUUAUUGUCAGAGAAAUUUACAAAUGCCAAUCGUUUGCCGUGUUGAAUGUACUUGUUUACAUAUGCAAUGAAAUCCUGGAAGAGGCGAUGAUGAUAAUAUAGGGAGAUCGGUUUGACUGCUUAAUUAUUGAUUCCAAGCCGUAUCUUCCCUACAGGCCUAAUAUAUUCAACAAGUGGGGAACUGUCCACUACCAUGCAGUAACAGCUUCACAGAGAAACCCCAAAACUUUUUGGACACAUGACGAAUCAUCACAUUGAGUUUUGAAUUGAAUUGUCGACUUUUUAUCGUUUGUGGAGGGAUGUAGAGGAUAGGGCGCUGUUACUAGGGACAGUGCAUGUGAUUUUGAGUUUUUGGUAUAAAAAAUGCUAUCUUAAACCUAUCAGACGACAUACAUAGUUUCUCGUCACGGGGGACAUGACGACAUACUCAAGCAGUCGACGUCGCAGCAGCAUCUCAUUCCAAGACUACACUCGUAUAAAGGAGGCCCUGAACCAGCUUAAAGAGCAGAAAAGGGGAAUUAAACGCCCUAAUAAAGAGAACCACGUGCGAAAUGGACACCCUCCAACGACAGUCAUUCUAAGAGUGGUACAGUUCCUUGUGCUGGGGAUAGUCAUUAUAAUAGUCUUAUAUGGAGUUUUGCAUAUUCUAUAAAACCUUGCUAUAUAGCGGUUUGGAAACGACUUAUUAGAAGGAAACAUUUUAUGAUGAUGUGGUCUUGUGUUGUGAAAUAAAAGGUGUAUCAGUCGU